AUUGAACGCUGGCGGCAUGCUUUACACAUGCAAGUCGAACGGUAACAGGCCGCAAGGUGCUGACGAGUGGCGAACGGGUGAGUAAUGCAUCGGAACGUGCCCAGUCGUGGGGGAUAACUAUCCGAAAGGAUAGCUAAUACCGCAUACGAUCUGCGGAUGAAAGCGGGGGACCUUCGGGCCUCGCGCGAUUGGAGCGGCCGAUGUCAGAUUAGGUAGUUGGUGGAGUAAAGGCUCACCAAGCCAACGAUCGGUAGCUGGUCUGAGAGGACGACCAGCCACACUGGGACUGAGACACGGCCCAGACUCCUACGGGAGGCAGCAGUGGGGAAUUUUGGACAAUGGGCGCAAGCCUGAUUCAGCAAUGCCGCGUGCAGGAAGAAGGCCUUCGGGUUGUAAACUGCUUUUGUACGGAACGAAACGGCUCUGGUUAAUACCUGGGGCUAAUGACGGUACCGUAAGAAUAAGCACCGGCUAACUACGUGCCAGCCGCCGCCGUAA
rnacentral:rRNA from 1 species